CGGGAGAUGCUGGCAGCGUCUCAAGGGGUCGCAGGUUCAAAUCCUGUCAGCCCGACCA
rnacentral:tRNA from 1 species